ACACAACAUGGCGGCGGGAUCUCUAACGCUCUCCUUCGAGGGACCACCACGGAGAUCCUAGUGCGGGACCCCGCCUCAGGGAAGUGGAAAGCAGGGGGACAACCUUCCUGCUUCUUUCUUUUCCGUCCAGUGUCGGCAAGGGGUUGUCACCGGCUUCCGCAUCCAAGAUGAAGAACUAUAAAGCAAUUGGCAAAAUAGGAGAGGGAACGUUUUCUGAAGUUAUGAAGAUGCAAAGCCUGAGAGAUGGAAACUACUAUGCAUGUAAACAAAUGAAGCAGCGCUUUGAAAGACUAGGGAAUUGAAAUUCGGAGAGAUCAAGUUCCCCACCUGGCCCGUUGCUACCCAACCUACACGUCGUGGAGCUGACUCUGAGCCCAGUAUUGAGCAAGUCAACAACCUACGAGAGAUCCAAGCACUGAGGCGCCUGAAUCCGCACCCAAACAUUCUUAUGUUGCAUGAAGUGGUUUUUGACAGAAAAUCUGGUUCUCUUGCACUAAUAUGUGAACUUAUGGACAUGAAUAUUUAUGAGCUAAUACGAGGGAGAAGAUACCCAUUAUCAGAAAAAAAAAUUAUG
rnacentral:lncRNA from 10 species